rnacentral:lncRNA from 1 species
CAACUUUCAUACGUUUAAAAAAAAGUGUAAAAAGUUGAUUUAAUUUCCUAAUUUAUGCUCCGCUGCCUCUAAUCAAAUCAACUUUCAUACGUUUAAAAAAAUGUUAAUCAUAAAAAGUGAACCGAAAUUUUUUUUUUCUUCUAUUAAAAAAUGGUAUUUAUUAAAAACAGUUUAAAACGGUCAACGAGUUGGAAUCUGCCAUAUUUUAAGAAAACAAAAAUCGAUGCAAGAAUCAUCUCAAUUAUUUGGCUAGAUGCCGAAGAAACUCCUUAUCACUCUCAUCAGUCGAUACGCCACAUUUCUCAUUGUCAAAACGUGAUCUUCUUUUAAAAAAUUCUCAGCUAAUCAAACGCGUGGCAUACUUCGAAUGAUAAUAUGCAUAGCACAGUUUGAGUGCAACACGUUCCGGAUGAAGAUUGCCAAGAGGGAAGAAAUGAUGUCUAUUUUGCGAACGUCUCCUCACAAAACUCUUGCUCGGAGUCAAAAGGCAUCGUAAUCUUUACACUAAAUCGAUUCUGUAAAACUUCACAUCACGCAUGUGCGCAUUUUUACCUUAAGAUCGAUCCAACGUAUAUUACUGUCAAUCGUAUUUCAAUUGUUUGUGAUGGAUGAUUGCUGUUUGGAUAGUAGACUCCUACCUAAGCUAACUUAACCCGACGUGAUCAUUUUUUUUCUUCUUCUUCUUUUUUAAUUCCUUUAGCUUUAUAUAUAUACACUCUGUGCCAUCAUUUCUAAUUCCGCAGCUGCGCUCUUCUCUGAUGUGCUAGUUUAGAACAUUAUUGUUGCACGGAAAUUGGACUUGAACAGAUUGUAACUUCCCACACGUCGGUCUUCACGACAGAUAAACACGUAUUUACCUUAAAAGGGGGGAAGGAAGUUUAUAAAUGUUUGUUAUAAACUUUUAUAAAUCCGAGAGAAAAAUAAUAAAACCCGCUAAGUUGUUUCUAAAACUCGAAUGGUUUAUUAUUAUAAAUUUUUCUCUUCCUCUCUUUCGAUUAAAAAAGUUAGUUUGUAGAGAGUUGUUAGUAAGGAAUUUCGCAGAUUUUCUUCUCUGUAUUUUUUGCCACGGCAGUGUGGUAAUCUUGUAAACCAUGUAAGAACGUUUGCUUCUGUUGCCUACCUAUGGCGACAUCAAGAAGUGGUAAACAGAAUAAAGGAUAGGAGCUGUCUCCUGAUCAAAUCAACAAGACAAACAGUUGUACCUAUAAAAAGACGUAAAGGAUGGGUGAAAGUCGCAAGCAACAUUCAAGAAAGAAAUGGAAAACAAAGUAGACAAGGCUGAUUCCCUCUCUCCUCUUUCCCAAUACAGCUACGCCUCAUUACGUGUCUGGCCAAAGAGAAACUGCAAAUCAAUUUUCCCGUAGGAUUUACUUUGAGAUAGAAAAUAUAACGUCUGUAAAUAGGAAGCAAUGAUUUUUGUCCAUUCCUCUGAGACAUGGAAGCAAUAGUCUGGCGCAUGACUUUCAGAGAUUGAUGACAUUCAUCCUUCCCUUUUCCUUAAAGUUCGCCUGGGAUCUAGUUGACCUUUUACAAUAAAACCUUUAUAUUUUGUUUAAGAUUCGUUCCACGUCGCGAUAAAUCGGUUUAGGCGUGUUUACUUCUGGAUGCAAUAUAACAACAACCGUUAAUCCGAUAGGAAUAGUCAGGAACGAUUUGCAACCGGGAAAAUAAUUGAUCAGAGCUUUCCACUGAUUGGUUAGCUGAUGUGUUUCUCCAGUUGGCAAAACUAAUUCGUUUAGUCCAUUCGUUACCCGAACUAAUACCGGAGAUGCGCCACAUUAAAAAUCCAUACUCGUGUUGCAGCAGCAUCAAAAACCAUCCUCACUGGCGAAGAUUCAUGCGGAAUUAGAAAGAUUAGGAAAAAAAAAACUCUGCCAAGUGUUUACAAAUUCCUAGAAGAGUCGAUAAUUUCUGCAAGUUUUUAAAUGGAUUCUUUACCGUUCUAGUUCAUGCAUGCCAGAAAAUAUAUGCAUUAAUAAAUUCAUAAGUUUUCGUUUUCACGAAUAUAUGUAUAUUCUCCCCGGUGGAGUACCACUCGAAAGAGUUUUUUAAGUGGUUGGCCACACUUAAAAGAGUUUAAGAUAAUGGUUAGAAGUGGAAUGCGAGAUUUUCGGUCAGUGAAUCUAUUGUAAUUGUCCUCUAGUGGAACCAAUCAGCCAAGUAUAAACUCUGCAAUAAUUGUCACUCUGCAAGUUCAUCGACCCUGACUCCAAGAGACGUACUGCUAAACAGCUUUUCAUUUCCGGUAAGAGUUUUAAAUCGCCACGUUCUGAAAUAUUUUAAAGUUUAAAAGUCACGUUGCUCCAUAAAAAUCGUGCAUAAGUUUACUUUACGCAAGCAAAAGUGCAACUGCGAAUCCAUCCCCUCUCUCUCUCUCUCUCUCUCUCUCUCGCUCGCUUUGCUCUCGAAUAAUAGAGUCACCUUCACUCGCAGCUAGCCCAUCAAGGUGACGUGUUGACUAAUGUCCUCUUUUCCUGGACUAAUAAACACGAGCCCGCUCUCAGGCAAGAGGCUACGAGCCGACAAAGUAAUCUAGUUUGAAGUUGGCUCUCCACUCAUCUUAGCCAUCCCGAAAAUUAUGUUUCUGAUGAAGUGACUCACGCUCAUCUCUCUCUCGUUUCUCAGAAUGUUUGAAGUAUCCUACACAAAUUACAAAAUUUAUGUUUUGCGGGUGGAAAAUUGAUUAUUCAGGCGGAGAGGGGGGGAAAAUAAAAAUUUAUAUUUAUUUUUUUUUCUUUCCUCUCUCCUCUUUCUCCUUCAAUUCUGACACACUGUUACCUCCCAAGAGAUUAUUAUAAUUUUUAACAGGCUUUUAUAACUGUAAACAAGUUAAAAUUUUCGCAGUAGGGCGGUUUUUACGAGGUCGCAUAACCGAUUAUUAAUAACCAUUAAAGACGGUUUUUUUUUUUUCUUUUUUUUUCUUUCUUUC